UGUCUCCUACGGGAGGCAGCAGGGAAUCUUCCACAAUGGACGAAAGUCUGAUGGAGCAACGCCGCGUGAGUGAAGAAGGGUUUCGGCUCGUAAAGCUCUGUUGGUAGUGAAGAAAGAUAGAGGUAGUAACUGGCCUUUAUUUGACGGUAAUUACUUAGAAAGUCACGGCUAACUACUUGCCAGCAGCCGCGGUAAUACGUAGGUGGCAAGCGUUGUCCGGAUUUAUUGGGCGUAAAGCGAGUGCAGGCGGU
rnacentral:rRNA from 1 species